CGAGCCCUACUUCCCUUCGUCGGUGACGUGGUUCUUCGAGAACGGCGCGCUGCUGUACCAGAAGGGCAGCCAGACCGCGACGCCGGUGGCCGCCGACGGGUCGAACCUCCCGCAAGGCGGCGGCAACGACGGCGGCUACUGGCUCGACCUGCCGGUGGACAACAAGCAGAGGGAGAAGGUCAAGAGGGGCGACCUCGCCAGCGCGAAGGUGUACGUGCAAGCGAAGCCGAUGCUGGGCGGGACGGUGACCGACCUCGCCGUGUGGAUCUUCUACCCGUUCAACGGGCCGGCGCGCGCCAAGGUCGGCCUGCUCACGAUCCCGCUGGGCGAGAUCGGCGAGCACGUCGGCGACUGGGAGCACGUGACGCUGCGUGUGAGCAACUUCUCCGGCGAGCUGCUCCG
rnacentral:lncRNA from 1 species